rnacentral:rRNA from 1 species
UGGGGAAUAUUGCACAAUGGGCGCAAGCCUGAUGCAGCCAUGCCGCGUGUAUGAAGAAGGCCUUCGGGUUGUAAAGUACUUUCAGUCGGGAGGAAGGUGGUAAGGUUAAUAACCUUGGCAAUUGACGUUACCGACAGAAGAAGCACCGGCUAACUCCGUGCCAGCAGCCGCGGUAAUACGGAGGGUGCAAGCGUUAAUCGGAAUUACUGGGCGUAAAGCGCACGCAGGCGGUUGAUUGAGUCAGAUGUGAAAUCCCCGGGCUUAACCCGGGAAUUGCAUCUGAUACUGGUAAGCUAGAGUCUUGUAGAGGGGGGUAGAAUUCCAGGUGUAGCGGUGAAAUGCGUAGAGAUGUGGAGGAAUACCGGUGGCGAAGGCGGCCCCCUGGACAAAGACUGACGCUCAGGUGCGAAAGCGUGGGGAGCAAACAGG